GAUGAAGAACGUAGCGAAAUGCGAUAAGUAAUGUGAAUUGCAGAAUUCAGUGAAUCAUCGAAUCUUUGAACGCACAUUGCGCCCGCCAGUAUUCUGGCGGGCAUGCCUGUUCAAGCGUCAUUUCAACCAUCAAGCCCCCGGCUUGUGUUGGGGACCUGCGGCUGCCGCAGGCCCUGAAAUGCAGUGGCGGGCUCGCUGUCACUCCGAGCGUAGUAGUUACAUCUCGCUCUGGGCGUGCUGCGGGUUCCGGCCGUUAAAAGCCUUAUUUACCCAAGGUUGACCUCGGAUCAGGUAGGAAGACCCGCUGAACUUAAGCAUAUCAAUAAGCGGAGGA
rnacentral:misc_RNA from 1 species